UACUGAAUUUAGAGGCAAAAAAUUUGGGACUAACACACACCUUCUCAUUCCCUACAGAGAAAUUCCACACAAUCUUCUCCCACAUCGUUGCCAAGUGCAUCUUUCUGCUGGAAUGAUCUCUCCUUGCUUCAGCGUAUAACUCAAUUGCCUGUUAUCCUUAAAGGGAUUUUGACGAAAGAGGAUGCAGAAUUAGCAGUGAAACACAAUGUCCAAGGCAUUCUUGUUUCCAACCAUGGUGGGAGGCAGCUUGAUGAGGUUCCUGCUUCAGUAAGUAGGAUGACUACAGGGGAGUAUGUCUGAAUGCUCUAUACAUGUCUACACCAAAACCCCCUCCUAAAUCUGGUACACAUUGUCCUCUCACUUAUCAUGGGUAUUACCUAUUGAUUUUAAGGAAGGUUAAUUACUAAAAAAUACAUUAUACACCUGACUAUCUUUGUGAACUGUAUGUGUAACAUAUCUAAACCUUGUGAGACUGCUGAAAAACAGAUACAUCCUUAUUGCACAGUUAGGAUACUGGAGUCUAGAGACAUCAACUAAUGUGUACAAGUUCACAAUAGAUAAUGAGGUAGACUAAGGGAGAUGUUCAAAGGCAUUGAGGACCCUGUCUUCAGCCAGCAGUGACCAGAUUAAAGCUGAUGUGUCUUCAUGGAUUUUUAGAAACCAAGAUAUCCUAUCUGACACAAUGUAGGGAGGAACAGCACCUCACAUGGACACAUAAGUGUUUUACAUAAUGGAUCUGAAAUGCCCUGAUUCACUAGUGCAUAGUACACUGAUAAAUCAUUUAUUAAGAGCUACACUAGCUUACACUAGCUCACAAACAUGUGUCCGUUCUACAAGCUGUGUGUGAGAAAGAAAAUGAGCAAAGGGAAGUAGGGAAAAUCUUUAAAUGGGAAUUGGUUGUUAAUUUGUCUUCAUAGAUGUGUUUAUGCUAUAUUUUCCCCAAAGCUAUUCUAUUUUAACAAACAGAAGUGAAGCUUUUUCCUCCUUAGUUCCUUUUGCCUCAUAAAAUAUCCCUGAACAAAAGGAAAUGAUUAAAAAACACCCCUAAUUUUUAUCACAAUCAUUGGUUGGUUGUUAUUGGUACUUGUUACAAAUAAAUUUUUUUUUGGUUUAAAAAAUA